rnacentral:rRNA from 1 species
GUGCCAGCAGCCGCGGUAAGACGAACCGUGCGAACGUUAUUCGGAAUCACUGGGCUUAAAGGGCGCGUAGGCGGGCUACCAAGUCGGAGGUGAAAUCCUGCAGCUCAACUGCAGAAGUGCCCCCGAUACUGGCAGCCUCGAGUGAGGUAGGGGCAUGUGGAACUUCCGGUGGAGCGGUGAAGUGCGUAGAUAUCGGAAGGAACGCCGGUGGCGAAAGCGACGUGCUGGACCUCUUCUGACGCUGAGGCGCGAAAGCCAGGGGAGCGAACGGGAUUAGAUACCCCCGUAGUCC